rnacentral:sRNA from 1 species
UGGUAGUGUGUGGAAUCUGUGCCUUCCUCAACAUCCUGUACUUGUCACUU